rnacentral:lncRNA from 1 species
UUUACAUUUAGGAGCUUUAUAUUUUUUUUGGCUUAAGGUCUGGUCUAUCUGGUCUAUAUGAAAAAUAGACUUCUUGAGCAGCCCCACCCUUUCUCACUUACAAACUUGUUCAUAAUUGGGCUUUAAAUAAAUAAAUAUUUACUUACUUAUUUACUUAAUGAGGUUGACAGCUUGGUGAGAUGUUUGACAAUGAUAAUUUCAAUAAUUUCUGUCAUUUUUAGUUCCAAGAGGAACCAUCACCCAGUUGAAACUGUGAACCUCUCUCACAAAGUCUAAGUAGCCCUUGAUUCAAGCUAUGGGCACCAGUCUCCACAUAAUCUACUCAGAAGCACUGUAGUGUGGAAAUUGGCAAUGUCUGCCUUCUCCAAAUCAUUCAAUAGAGUUUCAGCUUUUCUCAGGCAUUCUGCAUAUUUAUAAAAGUUAGCUCGAUGCAGUAUUCCAAUAAAACCACCAAUUAUAUGCCUUUCAAAGGAUGUCAUCUUCUGAAAGCGUUCCACAUGGCUAUAAUCUUAUUACCUCUGGUUGAAGUAGUCACAGACCAAACUAAACGGAACUGGACCAAGGGAAGAGGACACAGAAGGUAAAAGGAAGCCAGACCAGCAUGUUCUCCCACUCUAGUGCUCCUACCAAGAGGCUUUGAUAAGCAAUCACAAUUGUCCCCAGUGACAUGAAAGAAAAAGUGAAGCACCCUGUAGGGAUGCAUAGCAUGACAUCUACGUAGACUUGGGUCAUGGAAGGAAACUGUCACCACAUACAAGUUCAAGGGAAAUGUUCAGCCUCCAGGUGUGGAGCGUGUACAGGAAUGAAGCUGCUCACCCAGGACUUAUGCUUUGCACCUUUGUGCUCCUCACAUAUGGCCAUGUGCCCGUCCCCCCGUCCCCCACCCCACCAAUGGCAUCUGUGCAGAGUGAUAUGCGCCACUUCCAGGCUGGAUAUUUACACUGUGGUUACCUUCUGUCCCUUUUCUCUGCAUCAGCCGCUGAAUGAAGCUCUGCCCAGGCCUUAGGAAAAGGUGAAACCCCAACUAGCAGGGGCCCCAGUUCACCAUAUCCAGGAAGGUGUCCUUGAACCAGAAAUACCCACGUUGUACUCCGACAUGAACAAGAAAUAGAUUUCUAUUAUAUUAAGCAACAGAAAUUUUCAGAUAUAUCAGUUCUCGCAGCAGGAAGGAUGUAUUGAUAAUGGCAACAUGGAUGGAGCUCAAAACAUCACAUUUAAUGAAAAAAGAGACUUACAUAAAAAAAUUAUAGACUAUAUUAUUACAUUCAAAUGAAGUUCAAGAACAAGCAAAAGUUGUGGAAAAAUAUCAGAAAACUUGCUUCUGCUGGAGGGGUAGGAUGGGAUUUGACUGGGAAGAGGCCUAGGGGAACAUGCUGGAAUGAUAUUAAUGUUCUAUUUCUUGAUGGAGGUUUGGGUUCCACAGGUGUAUGUAUUUGCUAAAAGUUAGCAAAUGUAGAGUUAAGGUUUGUGUUCUUCCUUGUGCAAUACAUUUUACACCAAAGGAAAGGCUGUAAACAAAUAUUGAACUGUAGUUAAUCAUAUGUAUGGAGAAAAACUUAAGGAAAAGACUUAUGAAUGCCUCAAGUUUAUUUAAAAAAGCAUUAAAAAUAAGAUUAAACAGGUAUUUAUGGAUAAACUACUGAAACUGAGAGAUAUUAACAGUAAAUAGUCAAAAUGUUCACUGUAAGAAUGAAAUUGAAAGGGAUUUGAACCCAGGUCUGUUUCACUGUAAAUCCUUGCUCCUGUGCUCUCUCAUGUUUAUUGGAAUUCAUGGGUAGAAAAUUUAAAUGCUCUGAAUCACUAUGAGAAGAAAGAUUCAGGAAAAAAAAAUGAAAGGCUAGAUUUCCAAAGAUAAGCCAGGUAAAUAUCAUGGAGAGUUGCAACAAUGUACUGCUAAUUAACUCUAAUACUUAGAGCUAAUGUCGAGUUUUCUGAGGGUUGUGACAUUCAUACAUGACUAAUUAACCUACACAGCAAAUCCAUUUCACUAGCUGCCAUGACACAGCCAAUCAAGACUAGCUCACUGUUUGCUCAUUUGGAAAAUGAUGAGGAUUCCCAUUUAGACUUAAUUACACUACAAAGAUUGACAAUUAUCUUCUCUAUAGAAGCAUCAGAUGUUUCGAUAUUAUACUGAACAUGUGCCUAUAAUUAUGUCCAUAAUUUGUCUAGCAGAAAAUGUAACCCAGUCAUUACUGAGAUCUUAUGCCUGUAAUUAGAUAUCAAAAAAAAAAUACCAAAUGGGAAAAGUGGGUUGUUGGGAUGUUAGGACCAUUACAAUGUGAGAAUCUGUAUGAAGCUAUUAGUGGGAACUCAGUAGCAACCAACAUCUCUUGGAUUGCUGCCCUCUAUUAAAAAUAAUCAGGAAGUGUGAGAGAGGGGAAAAUGAUGGCAGAGUAAAACCAUAGUACAAUCGCUUUUCCAAUACUUGACUGCAGUCAUUAAAAAUCCCAUAGGCACCUCAAAUUCAACACAUUUGAAACCGACUCAUUAGCCACCUUUGCCCCACUAUAGCUACUCCUUUUCCUGUGUUUGCUUUCUUAGACGAUUGCAAAGCAUUGUAGAGUCAUCUGCAACAAUUGUUCUCUCACUCCUUUCUCCUAAUCAAACCUCCGUGAUUCUGAUUACUAAUUUUUUCUAAGUGUGUUGCUCCUCUCUAUGCUGUGACUCUUCCAUUGUCUGCCUUCAUCAUCCUUGUAUGGUCAAUUUCAAGAGCACGUAUAAGAACGGUGCUGCAUCUGAAUGUUCACUCAUAAGUGGGAGUUGAACAAUGAGAACACAUGGACACAGGGAGGGGAACAUCACACGCUGGGGCCAAGCGGAGGGAGAGCAUUAGGACAAAUACCUAAUGCAUGUGGGGCUUAAAACCUAGAUGAUGGGUUGAUGGGUACAGCAAACCACUAUGGCACAUGUAUACCUAUCUAACAAGCCUGCAUGUUCUGCACGUGUAUUCCAGAACUUAAAGUAUAAUAAUAAUAAAAGAAGAAUGGUGCCGCUUUCCUCAAAUGUCUCCACCGUGUCACUUAUCUUCUGAAUUUCUCCCAGUAUGAUCAUCUCUAAUCACGAAUCUCAUUAUGCCACUCUGCCAUUCAGAAGAGUUGAGUGUGUCCACCUCUUUCCUAACAGCAUUUGGCAGAACACAGAAAGUAUGUUUUGUUUUUCAUUGAAUUUUGUGCCAGCUUCACGCUGGCCUGCCCCAGUCUGUAAUUUAGGCUAGCUCCAUUAUAUGGUUUACUAAUUAUGUAAUGUGACAUGCUCAUUAUUUCAGUUAUCUCUUGCAGGACAACUGGCUACCCCAAAAUUUAAUAGCUAAAAGCAAUCAUUUUUAUUUUGCUAAUGAUUUUUUGGGGUAAGGAAUGUAGAAACGGCUCCAAAGGGUGGUCGUUUCUGAUCAAUAUUGCAUCAGCUGGGGUGGAAGAAUCUUCUUCAAAAUAGCUUCUUUACUCACAUCUGGUGCCUUAGGGCUUCUUGACCUCUCUCUCUCUUCAUGUGGCUUCUCAUCCUCCAGGCUUUCUUCACUUGGCUUACCUUCUUGCAGCAAGGGUAUCUAAAAGAAGUCUCACUUUUUACACGGAAGCUAGAUUCCAAGAGGCAGGCAGUAGAAACUGCGCAGCUAGCUAAAGGCUAUAACAGAAAAAGGCAUGGCAACACUUCUACCAUAGUCUAUUAGUGAAGGCAGUUCCCAAGACCCUCAGAUUUAAGAGCACAGAGAAAUAGAUCCCAAUUCUAGAUGGGAAAAUGUCCAGGUCACGUUGAAGAAGAGCACAUAGGGCAAGAGACACUGUUGCACCUGUAUUUGCAAAAGUAAAUCUAUAUGCAUGCUAUUUCAUUCUUCUAAAAUACUGAGUGGCUGUAGCUCUCAACGCUAAUCGCUCUGUCUAUCCUACUCAAAUGCACUUCGGAGCAAUUGCUCAACUUUGCACAUUCUCUACGCAACCUCUCUCCAAAAUGCCCCUACAAUACUUAGUGUAAUCUCUUUUAUGUUAGAGUGGAACACCAUUGUCUAUUUACUGACAUAUUUAUCUCUCCCGCCAGAAUAUAAGGAUAAGCUCAUGUCUUAUUUACUUUAGAAUACCUUUUGUGUAACACAGAUGCUGGCAUAUAGUAGAUAUUAAAUACAUGUUCUAUUGAUCACAAGACUAAUAAAAGGAAUAAAUAAAUUGUCCUAUUCAUACAUGUAUUAUCUAUGCCUGGGGUACUUCCUGGAACAAGUUUAGUACCUGGUGAUUAUCAGCUUCCAAGAUGGCCCCCAAUAGUCUCCACCUCCUGAAUUCACACUCUUUGUAGUUCCUUCCUGCAUUGUGCCAGAGUUGGUCAAUGUGACCAACAGGAUAUAGUAGAAGGGAUGGUAUUAUGCUAUAAAAGACGUUCAAUUUUUAUCUCUUUCUCUCUCAUAAUUCACCCUGAGAGAAACCAGCUGCCUUGUUGCAAGCAGUCCUACGGAGAGGCCCACAUAGUGAGAAACUGAGGCCUUCUGCCAACAGCCAGAGGAGGGAGCUUGCAAGCAGACCCUCCAGCCCCAGCUAAGCUUCAGGUGACUGUCCAGGCAACGGCUGGAGUAAAACCUCACAAGACGUCCAGAGCUAGAGCCACCCAGCUCAGCUGCUCCCAGAUUUCUGACUCUCAGAAACCAUGUGAGAUAAUAAAUGCUUGCUGUUUUAAGCUGCUAAAUUUUGAAGUAGUUUUUUACACAGCAAGAGAUAAUUAUUUUAUUUACUAAUACAUAUUCGUGAAUGCCAUCCAACAUAGAAAGAAUGAAGCAGUUCCAUUCUUCUUCUUGGAUUUUUAGCUAAAGUAUUUUGUUGUUACUACGACAGACACCUGGGUGGUAAUUGCUAUUUCAAGCUGGACACCUGGGCUUUUUCUCCACUACAAAGAACCUCUCAGUUACUCCCAGAGAAAGUAAUGAUUUCACUUCUUGGAGUAAGUGUUUGUGCUAAUUAGCAGCAUGACGAAAUACAGCAUGUCAAGCAAAAAACUAUUUGUGCUUACCUUCCAACACAUUCUCUUACAGAGAGGACAUGAUGCCAGAGAAAUAAACAUUAAACUACUGUACACUAUCAGACUUUGCAAUGUAGCCUUACUUCACUAGCUUUGUAUUUCAAUCCCUAAUUACUAAACUGAUAAGAUUUCUGAUUAUUUUGGUUGAAAGAAAAAGCCCUCCUUUUGUCUCAACAAAAUUAGAACAUGAAAGAAAAAAAUAAAUACAUGAAAUUACCUAGAGAAUAUAUUAUUUAUAUCUGCUUCUAAGAAAUUCAGCAGGGGAUUUUUAAAAUGCUGGAUUAGUAAUUUUAUAAUCUUUUAUAUUCAAAUAUACUUCCAUGAAAUGUUAGC